rnacentral:rRNA from 1 species
UACGUAGGGUGCGAGCGUUGUCCGGAAUUACUGGGCGUAAAGAGCUCGUAGGUGGUUUGUCGCGUUGUUCGUGAAAACUCACAGCUCAACUGUGGGCGUGCGGGCGAUACGGGCAGACUGGAGUACUGCAGGGGAGACUGGAAUUCCUGGUGGUAGCGGUGGAAUGCGCAGAUAUCAGGAGGAACACCGGUGGCGAAGGCGGGUCUCUGGGGCAGUAACUGACGCUGGAGGAGCGAAAGCGUGGGGAGCGAACAGG